AUGGAAACCUAUCCUAAGACAUUUACAUGGAAACCUAUCCUAAGCCUAACUCUAAGGCACAUGAUUCUUCGUGCUUCCAAGGUCUUCAUGUUCCAACACUUCAUCAAACUUCCAUCAUCACGACCAAUUCUCCAUAAUAUCUUCAAGUUCUUCAUGAACCAAAUCUUCAUGCUAAGCUUCCCAUGUCCAUGCCUUCAAUAA